UCUGCCGCUGUGAUGCCAGGUAAACAGACAUCCACCCCUCCCCCUGUAAAGCCCCGGGAACUUUGAAACUCCCCUUCCUGUUUUCUUGCAAGUGCUCUCUUAUCAUCUGGCCAGGCGACAAUGCCUGCUCCAUGGAGCAAACAAUCCCCUGCUUGAAGCAAUGCUGCGCUACUGGAGCUGAUCAGUGUUUGGGCAGAGGAGGCUGUGCAGGGACCCAGGAUGCCCCACGAUCACAACCCCACCUUCGCACAAGACCCAUCGUCAAAAUGGAGAGAGCUGCACUGUGGAAUAGCUGCUCUCAUCGUUGAUGGAAGUGCUGCAAAUAUAAACACUCUCUGAUGCCUGUGGAAGCAUGCUGCACACGGGACCUCUGUUCUGCUUGGGCUCUCUAUAAUGAAAUCUAAGGACUAAAGACAUGGGAAAUUUGAUCCAUCUGCAUACAUCUCUACAUCCAUGCAGAGCCCCGCCAAAGUUGCAUCCCACAGACCCAAAGACACCAGAAAAUAUCACACCCUGAAGACACCAAAAGAAACCCCCAAGCAUCAAGAAAAGAAAAAUGAAGUGCUUUAUAAAUUAGAGACUGGUCAAAUACACCUCUAUCUACCAUAUAUGGACAAUUAAGUUAACAAUCAGCUAAAAACCACUAGCUGGACCAGGAUAAACUGUCAUUUAAUUUCAACUUGGUUAAUUGUGUAAAGACAACUGUAUUAUUGCUGUACUACUGUAUUAUCGUUGUACUGCUGUAUUAUUGCUGUAUUGCAUUAUUGCUGUACAACAUUUACAAUGUGCAUAACCUUGCUAAACUGCUUAACCAACACACAGGUUAAAAAUCAACAAAUGAAUGGCAGCAAACAACAUGAAGGCAAGGAAAAACAAAUUGGUAAAGAAAUUAAGUUACACAGUAACUACAAAUUGGGUAAACAAAUUCCCUGUUAGUACCAGUCAUAAUUUGGGUUACUGACACCACAUCCUAACUAAGGCACAUGUUGUUCAAAAUAAUCUUAUUCAGUGUUUGGAUACCAAUAUUACAUCCUGACACAGCAAUAUUUGAUAAAUUGGUUACUGUCCAUUCAGUAGGUUAUCUGGAAGACAGUAUCCAUAAGAAACAACUGGAUCUACGUCAACCACUGGAGUAUCACAGACAGGGUCGGCUCCAGGCACCAGCCAAGCAAGCUCGUGCUUGGGGCAGUAGAUUCCCUCAAAUCCUUUUUUUUUUUUUUGCUUUGCUCUUCGGCCACCCCGCAGGUUUUUUUCUUUUUGGUUCGCCACUCCAGCCACCCUGUAGGGGUAGGGGGCGGCGGCGCAGAGGAGGGGAGCGCCCUGCCGGGAGUGAGCUGCACGCUCCAUCCAGGGCUGGCUUUAGGCCGAUUCAGCCGAUUCGGCUGAAUUGGGCCCCGCGCCAAGAG